ACCUACGGAGGGCAGCAGUAGGGAAUUUUCGUCAAUGGGCGCAAGCCUGAACGAGCAAUGCCGCGUGAACGAGGAAGGUCUUCGGAUCGUAAAGUUCUGUUGAAGGGGAAAAAGAGCGGAGAGAGGAAAUGGUCUCCGAUUGAUAUUACCCUUCGAGGAAGUCACGGCUAACUACGUGCCAGCAGCCGCGGUAAUACGUAGGUGGCGAGCGUUAUCCGGAAUGAUUGGGCGUAAAGGGUGCGUAGGCGGCCUGCUAAGUCUGGAGUGAAAGGUACCGGCUCAACCGGUACAGGCUCUGGAAACUG
rnacentral:rRNA from 1 species